GCUUGUGGCCAUAGUACUGGGUUAGUACUGGGACAGGAGACUGCUUGGGAAUACCAGGUGCCCCAAAAC
rnacentral:rRNA from 1 species